AACGAACGCUGGCGGCAUGCCUAACACAUGCAAGUCGAACGAUCCCUUCGGGGAUAGUGGCGCACGGGUGCGUAACGCGUGGGAACCUGCCCUUAGGUUCGGAAUAACUCAGAGAAAUUUGAGCUAAUACCGGAUAAUGUCUUCGGACCAAAGAUUUAUCGACUUUGGAUGGGCCCGCGUUGGAUUAGCUAGUUGGUGGGGUAAAGGCCUACCAAGGCGACGAUCCAUAGCUGGUCUGAGAGGAUGAUCAGCCACACUGGGACUGAGACACGGCCCAGACUCCUACGGGAGGCAGCAGUGGGGAAUAUUGGACAAUGGGCGAAAGCCUGAUCCAGCAAUGCCGCGUGAGUGAUGAAGGCAUUAGGGUUGUAAAGCUCUUUUACCCGGGAUGAUAAUGACAGUACCGGGAGAAUAAGCCCCGGCUAACUCCGUG
rnacentral:rRNA from 1 species